CGCUUGGAAGGGGGGAUCGGUGAGGAAGAAGCACCCCGCAGGACACGGUUCCCGCUUGGAAGGGGGGGUGGGGGACGGACAGAGCACACCGCAGGGCAGGUUUCCCGCUUGGAAGGGGGGGUGGGGGACGGACAGAGCACACCGCAGGGCAGGUUUCCCGCUUGGAAGGGGGGGUGGGGGACGGACAGAGCACACCGCAGGGCAGGUUUCCCGCUUGGAAGGGGGGGUGGGGGACGGACAGAGCACACCGCAGGGCAGGUUUCCCACUUGGAAGGGGGGGUGGGGGACGGACAGAGCACACCGCAGGGCAGGUUUCACGCUUGGAAGGGGGGAUCGGUGAGGAAGAAGCACCCCGCAGGACACGGUUCCCGCUUGGAAGGGGGGGUGGGGGACGGACAGAGCACACCGCAGGGCAGGUUUCCCGCUUGGAAGGGGGGGUGGGGGACGGACAGAGCACACCGCAGGGCAGGUUUCACGCUUGGAAGGGGGGAUCGGUGAGGAAGAAGCACCCCGCAGGACACGGUUCCCGCUUGGAAGGGGGGGUGGGGGACGGACAGAGCACACCGCAGGGCAGGUUUCACGCUUGGAAGGGGGAAUCGAUGAGGAAGAAGCACCCCGCAGGACACGGUUCCCGCUUGGAAGGGGGGGUGGGGGACGGACAGAGCACACCGCAGGGCAGGUUUCCCGCUUGGAAGGGGGGAUCGGUGAGGAAGAAGCACCCCGCAGGACACGGUUCCCGCUUGGAAGGGGGGGUGGGGGACGGACAGAGCACACCGCAGGGCAGGUUUCACGCUUGGAAGGGGGGGUGGGGGACGG